AAUAAAUUUGCGAUUUAUAUAAAAAACUUUUUAAAAACAAAGUAUGGGAACAUCAGAAAUGUUUAUAUAUAGUUUUAUAAGUCUGAAAAGAAUUACAUAAAAAUGAAAAAGCCUUAGUUUUAUAAGUACCUUUUGUAUAAUGGCCUUUUAAGAGAAUUUGCCUUAUAGGCUUAUCCCGAACUGAGCAGAUUUUUUAAAAAACAGUGAAGAAGGUUUUCGAUGUGUGAAAUCUUUAGAUUUUUUAAAGGAUGUGAUAUGCAAUAUCGAGGCUCAGGAUAGCUGGUUAAGUGAUAAAUGCUUUUAAGUGCAGCUUUAAAGUAGGUAAAUUCAAGGAAGACAAGUCUGCGGAUUAACUUUAAAAGUGAAAAACUUAGCUAAAGGUUAGGUUUAGAACUUUCUUAAAAUUUGUUCUUAGUAAAGAAAAGUUGGAUUUAAAAUGUCUGUUUUGGUAAGAGUAUUUAACAAUUUAUCUUUAAUGAAAAAAGAAGAAUUAAUUACAUUUAAGAGGUAUAUAAAAUCGCUUAAUUAUCUAAAAUUAACUGUCAGG
rnacentral:rRNA from 1 species